AAACUGCGAAUGGCUCAUUAUAUAAGUUAUCGUUUAUUUGAUAGUGCCUUACUACUUGGAUAACCGUGGUAAUUCUAGAGCUAAUACAUGCUAAAAACCCCGACUUCGGAAGGGGUGUAUUUAUUAGAUACAAAACCAAUGCCCUUCGGGGCUCUUUGGUGAUUCAUGAUAACUAUACGAAUCGCACGGCCUUGCGCCGGCGAUGGUUCAUUCAAAUUUCUUCCCUAUCAACUUUCGAUGUUUGGGUAUUGGCCAAACAUGGUUGCAACGGGUAACGGAGGGUUAGGGCUCGACCCCGGAGAAGGAGCCUGAGAAACGGCUACUACAUCCAAGGAAGGCAGCAGGCGCGCAAAUUACCCAAUCCCGACUCGGGGAGGUAGUGACAAUAAAUACUGAUACAGGGCCCUUUCGGGCCUUGUAAUUGG
rnacentral:rRNA from 3 species